rnacentral:rRNA from 1 species
AACGAACGUUAGCGGCGCGCUUAACACAUGCAAGUCGAACGAGAAAGGGCUUCGGCCCCGGUAAAGUGGCGCACGGGUGAGUAACACGUGGGUAAUCUUCCCUCGAGCGGGGGAUAACAUUCCGAAAGGAGUGCUAAUACCGCAUAAGACCACGCAUUCGAAAGAGUGCGCGGUAAAAGCAGGCCUCUUCACGAAAGCUUGCACUUGAGGAUGAGCCCGCGGCCCAUCAGCUAGUUGGCAGGGUAAUGGCCUACCAAGGCAACGACGGGU